AUUGAACGGUGGCGGCAGGCCUAACACAUGCAAGUCGAGCGGCAGCGACAACAUUGAACCUUCGGGGGAUUUGUUGGGCGGCGAGCGGCGGACGGGUGAGUAAUGCCUAGGAAAUUGCCAUGAUGUGGGGGAUAACCAUUGGAAACGAUGGCUAAUAUCGCAUGAUGCAUACGGGCCAAAGAGGGGGACCUUCGGGCUCUCGCGUCAGGAUAUGCCUAGGUGGGAUUAGCUAGUUGGUGAGGUAAGGGCUCACCAAGGCGACGAUCCUUAGCUGGUCUGAGAGGAUGAUCAGCCACAUUGGAACUGAGACACGGUCCAGAUUCCUACGGGAGGCAGCAGUGGGGAAUAUUGCACAAUGGGCGCAAGCCUGAUGCAUCCAUGCAGCGUGUGUGAAGAAGGCCUUCGGGUUGUAAAGCACUUUCAGUCGUGAGGAAGGUAGUGUAGUUAAUAGCUGCAUUAUUUGACGUUAGCGACAGAAGAAGCACCGGCUAACUCCGUGC
rnacentral:rRNA from 1 species